GAGGAAAGAUACGGAGGACGCGCGCUCCUCCGCGUGCGUGUUAACCCUCCUCUUCGUCGGACGGACGUGCUCGAAUAGAGGCUCUCUUUGUCUCGGCAAUAGUGUAAUAUGCUUGGCUACGACUACUCUCCACGUAAUAUUUUUCUUUACCCCCGCGCGAACGACAAAAUGAUCGAGAUCUACGAAAAGGAUCAAUGACCCCGUUUGGCGAAGGAUGGAUCACCGACGGACGACUAGUGGAUGCGUUCAAUUCCGUUCACCACGGAUUCAAGAGAGCCACGGCUAUUCGCAUAUAUCUGCGAAUUAUGCCAACGGUGUCUAUACUUAGGAACGGUAGACGAAUUUCGUUUGCGAGAAGCCGCCAAUUGAAAGGAGGUCGAGAAACAGCUGAUAGGGUAAUGCAGCGCUUAAGAUUUACUGUCACGUGGCGAGUCACUCGGUGUGAAAUUACCUUAAAGUUUUAAACGAUGUGAAAAGAGGAAACUUGGAAUAAUUAGACCUUUCUAUACUUCAUUAAAUUGUUAUAUACGUUAAUGCCAAAUUGUAAAGAGUAUAGACGUGAUUUAAAUUAAAGUUAACGAUAAAAAAAAAGAAAAAGAAAAAAAAAAGAAAAUGA